UUCUGUUUUGGUUGAUUAGCCUCUCAGAAAAAGAAUGCCAAUCCUUAAAAGGAAACACGUGGUCCAUCUAUUCAAAUCAAAACCAUUGUGAGAAUUCAGCAGUCCUGCUGUCUCUCCUCAAACCACACAAGGCUCUUUCUGCCUCUAGAAAGGAAGUUCCAAGGGUAAACAAGGACAGGCUUUGCAGGUACAGCAGUAAAAGAAAUUGUAAGUCAUAAUUAGGUUCCAUUGAAGAUUUGAUGAAGGCAAAGAAGCUGCAACACCUUUCAGACCUUUGGGCUCACACCAUUAAUACCUCUGAUCUUGAAGACAAACGACAAUUUGGGUUCAGCAGAGCAAGCAUUAGAUUUCCCUGUGCAGACCGUGUUGUGAUUCAAUGGCCGUUACUUGUCUGCAGGCAAUGGAGUGGCUCUAGAGAAGGACACACAUCUUGUAGCAAUGCAUCUGACUCAGAUGAUAGACUUGGAUGGGCUUCUCAUAAGGGCAAACAGGACCAGAGGAUUUAAGAGCCUGCUCAGCCAUGCUUCUUGCCCUGAGCCUGGAGCGCAGGCAUUGCCUUAUUGAAGGUGAGUCUUCUGAUGACCUGAGAGAGAAGAUGGGAGGGGCUUCAGAGAUACUGCAAAGGAGCGUCCCCUUUUGCUAGAGCUAGGUAAGACAUGGCUGGUGAGUGCUUCUUUUUCAUCCCUAAAAAUAACAGUAACAAAAACGGUCAUAAUUAACUUGAAUUAACAGCUUAUAAUGUGUCUGCCUAUGUGCUCCCUGCUUUAGGAGAGGUCAUUUCUUUCGAUCAGGCUCUGUGAAGUAGGUUUAACGUGUACAUUGUAGAGACAAGGAAAUUGAGGUUUACAGGGAUUAGGCAGUUUAUCAACAGUCAUGAGAGGAGUCAGUAGAGGAUAUUGUGGGUCUAACCCCGGAACCCAAGCCUUCCAUCACCGUAGUGGCAGUUUCUCUCUUGAUCCCACUGUGCUAGACCAGCCCUGUUUGGAAGCAGGCAUAUGUUCCUCCAUCCAGCCUCUUUCUAGGACUCUGGGCAUGGAUGGGUACCUAAGGUCCUCAUGGUUUUUUGCACUCCUCCUUCAUAAUGUGCUUAUGGAGAAUUAUAUAAUAUAAUAGUUUCGUAUCAGUGUUAAAGACUAAGAAUUGACACAUUUCUCUCAGGGAAUCUGUACCUCAAUUCUUGGACAGUAUUAGUAAUCUUUUUCUAGCUUUAUGUAGGUAUGAUUGACAAGUAAAAAUUGUAUAUAUUCAGGGUAUACAAUGUGAUGUUUUGAUAUACGUGUAUAUUGUGAAAUGAUUACUACAAUCUAAUUAACAUAUCCAUUACCUCACAUAGUUACUGUGUGUGUGUGUGUGUGUUGAGAACACUUGAGAUCUACUCUACUAGCAAUACAGUAUAAUGAACUAUUAGUCACCAUACUGUACUCCAGAACUGAUUCAUCUUAUAACUGCAGGAUGUUGUCCUUUGACCAACAUCUUCCUUUUCUCCCUAUCCCCCAGCCGCUGGUACCACUAUUCUACUCUCCGUUCCUACGAGUUUGACGUCUUCUAAAAGAUCCUACAUGUAAGAGAGAUCAGGCAGUACUUGUCUUGUUUCACUUAGUAGAGUGUCUUCCAGGUUCAUCCAUGUUGCAAAUGGCAAAGAUCUCUGACCUUUUGAAGGCUGAGUGAUAUUCCAAUGCAUGUGUUUAGACACACACACACACACAAUUUAUACACACAGACACCCAUUUUCUUUAUCCAUUCAUCUGUCAACCGACUUAGGUUCUUAGGUUGUUUCCAACCUAGGAACCAAUAGGGAAUAGCCAGUAUCUUGGCUAGUGUGAAUAAUGCUGUAAGGAACCUGGAGGUAUACUUAUCUCUUUGAGAUAUUGAUGUUAUUUCCUUUGGAUACAUACCCUGAAGUAGGAUUGCUGGAUCAUAUGCCACAUUUCUUACCAUAUGAAACCAUACGUUGGUCAAAGGACAAUAUCCCACAGUUAUCAGAUGAAUCAGUUCUGGAGACCUAAUGUAGAGUAUGGUGAUUAAUAGUUAAUUAUACUGUAUUGCUAAUAGAGUAGAAGUCUCUGGGCUGAUUUCAUGGGAAUAUUGAGAGUGUGGCAUAUUCCUCCCAUUUCAGUAAUCUCUAAGGUUUUGAAGUGCAUUUCAAAGCUCUAUCUUCAUCUCCUCUCUCCUAAAUUUCAGAGGCGAUUCUCCCUGGAAGGCAGGAAUCCCACCAUGGAGAAUCCACAUACGGUUA
rnacentral:lncRNA from 10 species